rnacentral:rRNA from 1 species
CACACUAUGGGAGCUGGCCAUGCCGAAGUCGUUACCUUAACCGCAAGGGGGGGAUGCCGAAGGGGCUAGUGACUGGAGUGAAGUCGUAACAAGGUAGCCGUACUGGAAGGUGAGGCUGGAUCACCUCCUUU